CUAGUUCAUAGAUGUCUAUAUUAGAAAAUCUCAAAAGAAUUUAUUUUAAAUCUUAUAACCGACAAAACUGUACCAGUUAAUAGUACUGUACUGUAUUACUGUAUAUUAUGGUAUAUGUGUUUUUACAAAUUAUCUCAAUCAGUAAUGACAAAACAAUAGGUUCGACGUGUUUGGUAAGGGUAGGAGACUUAUACUAAUAAAAACAAAUUACAGCCGCCACAUGAUAGGAAUAUAUUACAUUUUUGUGUCUAUUUCUAUCAAAUCGUUUUAAAAAUAAUAUGUUUAGAGGUUAAAUCAAUGAGGUUAACAUCAAAAUGCUUAUUCUGUUUUAAAAUCUGCAAAGGACUAUGAAAAUAGGUCGCUUACCUGUGUCCAUCGAUGCUUGCGUGUUAUCCAAUAUAUAGUUUGCCAUUUCCUUUUAUCAUUCAUCGAAUGAACAUUUUUGGCUAAUUUUCAGUAAUUGAAAUCGGUGGAUAAAACAAUGAUGGGAAAUAUAUUAAACAAUUCAAACUAUCUUAUUUGAAAUUUCUAAAAACAACCGUUUUAGUAAAAUUUUGAUAUUGAACAAUAAUUCAUUCUUUAACCUUUCGAUUGACCCUAUCACGAAUAUUGGCCACCGACAAAAAUACCCUUAGUAAGAUUCGACGGCUUAAUAAAAAUUAAAUUAACCUAACAUAGAUUAAACAGUUUUCUAGAAUAUAGAUGUUGAGCAGCAUUUCUCUGCCAAUGACAAAAUAUAUUUUUGAAAUCAUGAAAAUCCCUUUAAAAUGAUGUGCUGUUUAACAAUGAUAUAUUAUGCCUGGUUUUGCAAUGUCCCAAUAAAGUUCCUAUUAGCUUUAACAAUUAGUUAUUUAUUUUUGCAAUUGUCGGAUAAAAGCUAAUUGGUAGUUACUAAUAUUAAACUAUCAAUUGGCGUUUGUCUGAUAAUGGUAAAAUAAAUAACUGGCGGUUAAGGCUAACAGGAGCUUAUUUGGGACAUUGUAAAACUGGCCCUUAAUGUUGCAGGACAAAAAGAUAAUAUUAAGUCUAUACAAGAACUGGAUGAAAAACCAACACAUAUAUCCUGUACUGAUUUUGAAGAAUAUUCAGCUAUAAUUCUAAAUAUUUCAUUUUUAAAUGAAAAAAGUAGGAAAAUUGGAGCUAGAAGUUGGUUGUAACUAGCUGUUACUCAUUCCUGAUUUGCUCAAAAAUCUCGAAAUUACGCACGAAAUUAUCUAGUAAAGGUUGCCGUCCGAUCCUGUUUUAACCGUUAACGUUAGCUGACGCAAAUGCUGUUAAUUUAAUAAAAACGUUUUAAGAAUGACGUAAAUAAAAAAAAUCAUAAUUUAAAAGUUUUUAUAGAUUAUUUCAAUUGUUAAUAUCAUGGUAAUGUAUAUAAAACAUUGUUAUAAUUAUUCUUGUGUAAUAACCAUGUAAUAGGUUAUAUUUAUAGUGGUGGAAACUAAGUUAUCCUUCAGUUAUAUGUUAAUUCCAACUGUGAUCAUACCUUCCAAACCAAAGAUUCCCAAACUUUCUGGAGUCAUGAUUCUUUAUAGAAAUCCUUUAUACUUCAUCGACUCCAACCCAUUUAAUAACAACAUAUUCUCAAGGACGGUAUCUGAAUUUAAUCGUAAUGAAGAGUUUUUUUUUUUUAAUUUAUAUCGAAAAAUGUGGGAAACAUUUAAUGAAACUCUAAAUGGGUCUGAUUUAAUAUACAAGUAGUCCUUCACUGUGAUUCACAAUAAUUUGAACUUAUGACGGUGAUGUAAUCAGUAAAUUUUGUGAUUGGCCAAUACAGUUGAAAUGAGUUCGAGUCUCUGAGUCAUGGUCUGAUAUAUGGAAAGCAUCCUCUUUGUAUUUGUUUCUUGUAAUUUUGUUUGUUAUGUUUAUUAAGAUUAAUUUAUAGUAUCCUAGUAAAUGUAAGUAGUGAGAAAUCCAUAAAUUUUGGGCAUUUAUGACUUAUCAUGACAGGGCUUAAAACCAUUCUUGUCAUUAAUCAAAGAUUACCUGUAUAUAUAUC
rnacentral:lncRNA from 1 species